UGGCGGAUGCUACACAUGCAGUCGAGCGGUAACAGAGAGAAGCUGCUUCUUUGCUGACGAGCGGCGGACGGGUGAGUAACGCGUAAGAAUCUACCCAGUAGCGGGGGAUACGCCCGGGGAAACUCGGAUUAAUACCGUAUACGCCCUACGGGGGAAAGAUGGCCUCUUCUUGAAAGCUAUCGCUAUUGGAGGAGCCUGCGUUGGAUUAGCUAGUUGGUGGGGUAAAGGCCUACCAAGGCGACGAUCCAUAGCUGGUCUGAGAGGACGAUCAGCCACACUGGGACUGAGACACGGCCCAGACUCCUACGGGAGGCAGCAGUGGGGAAUAUCGGACAAUGGGCGAAAGCUUGACGCAGCGACACCGCGUGUGGGAUGACGGAUCUAGGUUUGUAAACCACUUUCAGGAGGGAAGAAAAUGACGGUAACUCCACGAGAAGCCCCGGUCAACUACGUGCCAGCAGCCGCGGCUAAUACGUAGGG
rnacentral:rRNA from 1 species